rnacentral:rRNA from 1 species
GAUGAACGCUGGCGGUAUGCCUAACACAUGCAAGUCGGACGGGAAGUGGUGUUUCCAGUGGUGGACGGGGGAGUAACGCGUAAGAACCUGCGCUUGGGAGGGGAACAACAGCUGUAAACGGCGGCUACUACCCCGUAGUCCGAGGAGUAAAAGGGGGGAUCCGCGCGAGGAGGGGCGUGCGUAUGAUUACCUAGGCGGUGAGGCAAUAGCUUACCAAGGAGACGAACAGUCGAUGUUCGGAGAGGAUGAUCGGCCACACUGGUACUGAGACACGGCGCGGACUACAUCGGGCAGCAGGAGUAAGGAUUUUUCAGCAAUACGGGGAAGGCUGACGAGGCCAUGGCGCGGGGAAGUAGAAGGCCCGGGAGUCGAGAGCUGCUGUUCCCGGAGAAGAAGCAAUGACGGUAUCUGAAGAAUAAGCACCGGCUAACUCUGUG